GCCUCAAAGAGUCUCUUGUCAAU
rnacentral:siRNA from 1 species